rnacentral:lncRNA from 12 species
AUUUAUUUAAAUUCAAGAAUAUUAAAGCUUGAAUUUGGGUAAACUACCACCAGGUGGUAGCAGAUAUGCUGAUUUUUUUUUUUUUUUUUUUUUUUUUUUUAUCCAGUCUAAGUGACUUGAUUUAAGCUAGAAACAUGUGCACGAGAGCCAAUUCCGAAUUCUGUGAUCCCGGCUUUUAUGUGUUUAAAGGUUUUGUUGGUAUAGCAGAUAAUUACAUCAAGGCCCAGAUUUGUAUAAAACAAUUUACUUCUAGCAGCACAGCAGCAGCCUUACUUAGAGAAACAAUACAACAUGUUUCUUUGCCAGACAUUUUUAUUCUUAUAAGUGGAAUGUACGAGGAUACAAACUGAUCAAACGGAAUGGUUGGAUAUUACUACUCAGAAUAUAAUUUCAAACAAAUUAGAAAAUAUAAUAUGUUUAUCUGGAAGUCUUGUGCUUGAAGGAGUGAGGCUGGAAAUUGGGUUAAUUAAGAUUGAGAGAGAUUAAGGAAAGCCUCAAACUUGGUUUAUUCACAGAUAGUGGGUGGAAUCUAAAGGGCUUCAGAUUGUAGGCAGAUCUGCCUUCAAAACGCAGCUAUUGUCUUCUUUAUCAUCUAAUUUAAUCCUCCCAACAGUCCUAUGAAAUAGAGAGUAUUAUCCUUAUUUAAACUUCAGGAGACUGUUGCUCAAAGAACUUAAGUAAUUGCCUGAUUUAUUUGUCCAAGUACAGAACAGAUUUGCUGUUUGAACCCUCAUCUGGUUUCACUUUCAGAGCCCCCUCUCUUCUCAGUACCCAAGAGCUAUGUGCUCUCCCUACUUCAGAAAUCCAUUGUGCACUGUCCUUGUUGAAGCAGGGGAGGUGAUGCUCUUUUAUCCCAGAAUUACUGGCUGCAAAAAGCUAGCACCUAGGAGAGGACCUGUCCGGGAAAGAGUACAGGAGUUGAUGAAGAUUAUGAGCUGGAUCCCAUCAGGAGAAAAACUGAUACAGUGCACUUUAACUUCUGUCAUCACUGAACUCUAGCACAACUUAAACUUCUUCACUGGCAGGUUAGCAGACCCAUUAUAGGAGGGUUUGGUUUGUGCAGUGAAUAUUUUGCAAUUUUUGUAGUUUUGUAUAGUAUUAUAAUGCAUAGGAAUAUUCAGAUAGUAAGAGUUUGUCUACUAAAGGAAGCCUGAAUUUCAUAUACAUAUAUUAUACACACACACUUCUAUCUCUACAUUUUUAUUGUAUGAAGUACUUAUUAUGUUAGGAAUAUAAUAAGGUGGUGGUUAGUAGUACAUUUUAUAUUUAUUCUGGUAACAUAGCUUUGGUGGAAACUGAACAAAAUCUUACAGAACCCAAAACAAUAAUGAAUGUAGUUAGCCAUUUCAUGCCUCAGUGCCUACAGCUAAACAUGUACUAAGGAAAGUAAAUGAUAGUGCAGACUUCCUUUCUACAGUGUCAUUUCCAGUUGGGGAAUGUAAUUAUGCUUAAUUGAGUUGAGGCACAUUAUUACACUGAAUCAUGCCUCUCUUGAUUCUAAAUAAGAAAUCUGUGAUAUUUUAUAACAGUGGAAAAAUGCUUUCAAUCCAAAUGGAGAAGGAUUUUAGUAUGGCAGCCAAUGUAUGUUUAGCCCCGAUUAUAGACAAUUAGGAAGGAUCUUUGGUAUUAUAGAAGGAACUUCUGACACGUGAUUAAAGUAUAGGUCAGGUAAAUUUUAAAAUGUAUGUAAAGUGGGAUCCCUGGGUGGCGCAGCGGUUUGGCGCCUGCCUUUGGCCCAGGGCGCGAUCCUGGAGACCCGGGAUCGAAUCCCACGUCGGGCUCCCGGUGCAUGGAGCCUGCUUCUCCCUCUGCCUGUGUCUCUGCCUCUCUCUCUCUCUCUCUCUCUCUCUCUCUGUGUGUGAUUAUCAUAAAUAAAUAAAAAAAAUUAAAAAAAAUAAAUAAAAUA